rnacentral:rRNA from 1 species
UACAGAGGUCCCGAGCGUUGUUCGGAUUCAUUGGGCGUAAAGGGUGCGUAGGUGGCGCUGUAAGUGGGGUGUGAAAUCCCGGGGCUUAACCCCGGGACUGCAUUCCAUACUGCGGUGCUUGAGGACUGGAGAGGAGACUGGAAUUUACGGUGUAGCAGUGAAAUGCGUAGAGAUCGUAAGGAAGACCGAGUGGCGAAGGCGGGUCUCUGGACAGGUUCCUGACACUGAGGCACGAAGGCCAGGGGAGCAAACGGG